AGGCUCGUUGUUCUCCCCUCCCCUCUCCUCUUCGCUCUCAUCCUCUCCUUUCUCUCUUCCCCCUCCAGCCUCCACUCCUUCGCCCGCUCACUCACCCUCUCCCUCUCCCGCUGCCCCCCCUUUCUCCCCCACCUCUUUGUUUCAGCUGAGAACCAGCUCCUCGGGACAGUUCCCACACUGCAGUGCCUCUGGUGAGGAGACAGCGCCACUGAGAACUCCUCUGAACUCUCAAAAUGUGACCUAUGCCAUCACCGAGGCCGCAGGAACAAGAGGUGGGUGUCCAUGACAUUGGUACCUGUCAUCCCUGUGUGCAGCAGGUGUGCCCCACCCUGGAGGCGGCAGAAAAAGGUAUGUGAGUCAUUGUGGGCUAGGAAGGUGGCCAUGUCCAGGCCCUCAGCUGCAGCCUGGCUGGCAAGCUCAGGUGUGACCCAGGCCCCAGCAGCCUCCGUGGGCCCAUCCUGCCCAUCAGUGCCACCGCUCAAAAACAGCACAUCUAUUUGCCCCAGCGGCCACCUUCUCAACUCUGCUCCAACACGCAGGGCCAGUUCCUGGUUCCGGCCACCCCUGCCAGAGCCCUGCAGCUGCACUGUGGGCUCGCCACCAGCCAGCAGGCAGACUGGGCCCCUUCCCCGUGCCAUGGUCUCCAGAGCCUCCUCCAGCUGCAGGUCUGGGAUCUGAAGGCUUUCACAUCCCUGGCACAUGUGGGCCUGGCUCCACCAACCCAAGGCUGCCUGGGGAAGAAGUGACUCAUACUUGCGCAGGGUAGGCGGCCUGAGCCAGCCCCCCACCCUUGAGCUGGGACAGGGCCUUUCGAAUGGUGUUCAACUCCUGGAUGGUGGCUCCACGGGCUGCCAGCAGUCUGUCCUCCAAUUCUAUCCAAGACAUGGUCUCUCCGAAACUCCGAGAGGCUCCAAAACAAAACACGGAAGCAGGAAGACUACCGGCCUUGACUCCUCCCCGCUAUUAAAGUGAGCUGGCACCAUUUCCGGUUUCCCGCAGUCAGCAGGGGGCUGGAAGUGACGUCAUCCUCAGGUAGGGCCUUCGCGAGGCAAAUGGCUGCCGUGUAAUGCCCGGUGAUGCGAGAAAGAAGGGCCUGCUGCCACCAAGACCCGUCGUCGCCCAGCCCAGGGAUUGCUUCUGAAGGUCAUGCGCGCCCUGCCGGCGCAGACUUAUCAGCCCACAGCUCCGGGCCGCAGCGCCCAGCACUGGAGACCGGAAGUAGUCGCGGGUGGGCGGAGCGGAAUCCGGAAGUGUGGACAUAAUUCAAGAAUUUCCUGAGUGCUUUCUGUGUGGGCCAAAUGCUGUAGCUGCUGGGAUAGGUUAAUAUGGACCAAAAUACAGCAUCAUCUUACUGGGCGCGUUCACUUCCCGACAGUUCCAGAACAUGGGCACUCAAUCAGUCCUUGUUGCCUUCUAAACUAUUCGAAGCAGACUCUGUAUCAGCCUU